ensembl:misc_RNA Metazoa_SRP Metazoan signal recognition particle RNA
GCCAGGCAUGGUGGCGCAUGCCUGUAAUCCCAGCUACUUGGGAGGCUGAGGCAGAAGAAUUGCUUGAACCCAGGAGGUAGAGGUUGCAGUGAGCCGAGACUGUGCCACUGCACUUUAGCCUGGGUGAUAGAGCAAGGCUCCAUCUCAA